CUAACAACACACAACAUUCCAGGAAUGUACUACCAAAGUUCUAUCAAUAUUUGAAUGUCCUGGACAUUUAGGGAACAUUCGGUGAACAUCUGAUUAAAUUAUUCGUGGAAUGUUACCAUAAGACAUUCUGUGAACAUACUACCAAUGUUCCUAUAUGUUCAUUUUCAAAUUCACGGCGCAUGUAUUUGUGCAUGGUGCUUAGAGAGGGCAUCACGUGACUAAAAACGACCAAUGACCUCACUUCAGACUUCGGUGCUUCGGCCAUCUUGACAUGCAUCUUGGCCUUGGCCACAUGGCCACCUUGCCGUGCGUGAUCGUUGUUUGUUUUUAUUUGUGCUUUUUAAGAAUAUUUUUUAAUUCGGAUACUUUUAUAAUAACUUUAAUAGUAUUAUUAAUAUAGUGCAUAAAAUCAGUUGGAGUAGCAGAAGCAAUGUAGAUAAAAAAUCUGCAGGAAUAAUGUUUCAAAGGUUAGUAUAUGCAAAUAUGUAAACAAAGGCAUGCCCCUAUUUCAGAAAAUAUCCAUUUAUUAUUUUAAUAAUUGCGAAUAAGCCACAAACUUGCUUAUUCCUAACUAAAAUAGUAAAUAAAUAGAGAUAAUAACAAACGGAUUAUUUGUAAAAUUAAAAUUUUUUUGCGUUUUUGCUAAUGUAUGCGUUUAUAAACAGGAUGGUAGACCACACACUAUAAUAGUACCAACUAAUGAAUACACAGUAUGAAUAGUACAGUCGGUUCGCUAAACUUAGUCUCAGACACAACUGGCUAGUGAUUUUAGUAAAUAAUUUUGACAAUUUGGUAAAAUUGGCAAAAAAAUAACUAAAUAGUUAGUAAUUUUGGCAAAAAUGGCCAAAAACAAAAAAAUUACCUACUAAAAUCACUAGCCAGUUGUGGCUAGGGAAACGACUAUACUAAUAAACAAUUUCUAAGCUGCUUUUUAUAAUAUUUUCUUUCCAGAAGAUCCUGCGAAGAAGGCAUGAAGUAUUGAUCAGAUUUGUUAAUAGAGCAGUAUGUUCAAAACAUUUUUUAGAAAAAGAUAUUGACAGAACUUCACUUUCAACCGUUUGAGAGACUGUGCUGUUCCAAUAGCUUAUAUCACACAGAAUCAGCUGAGAGAAGUGGUCUACAAAAAACCAGGAAGGAAAUGGAAUAUGUGGCUAUGAAAGGCAAAAGAAAGGUUUACAAAGCAAAUGUGACACAUUUUUUUAUAGGAAUAUCAGUAAAUUACAUUAAAAAAAUGUAUGAAAAGAUUUUUUGCAAUAAAAAUGUUUAUAUUUAUCAAGGAUGCAUUAUUUGGUAUGGCCACAUAUCGUCAGUGAUGUGACAAUACCUCCUAUCUGUUUUUUCAUGAGAUUUGUAAGAUAGACUAAAAACUUGUUUGGGCCACCUCCUGUUUUCAUAUAUUUUUUGACUUGUUUUGCAGUAAAUUUA